rnacentral:rRNA from 1 species
CCUACGGGAGGCAGCAGUGAGGAAUAUUGGUCAAUGGACGAGAGUCUGAACCAGCCAAGUAGCGUGAAGGAUGACUGCCCUAUGGGUUGUAAACUUCUUUUAUAUGGGAAUAAAAUGUUCCACGUGUGGGAUUUUGUAUGUACCAUAUGAAUAAGGAUCGGCUAACUCCGUGCCAGCAGCCGCGGUAAUACGGAGGAUCCGAGCGUUAUCCGGAUUUAUUGGGUUUAAAGGGAGCGUAGGUGGAGUGUUAAGUCAGUUGUGAAAGUUUGCGGCUCAACCGGAAAAUUGCAGUUGAAACUGGCAGUCUUGAGUACAGUAGAGGUGGGCGGAAUUCGUGGUGUAGCGGUGAAAUGCUUAGAUAUCACGAAGAACUCCGAUUGCGAAGGCAGUUCACUGGACUGCAACUGACACUGAGGCUCGAAAGUGUGGGUAUCAAACAGGAUUAGAUACCCCAGUAGUC